AGCUCUAGUUCAGAACGACUGGAGCACAAAUUGCUGCAGACAAAAUUACUUGUAUUAUUUCUAUGUAGAUUGAUGACCUCUAGAUUGGAAAUGCCUACAGAGAGGUUAAAAGUGUGGGAAGCAGCAUGAUCUGUGACCCAGGAUACUUCAUUCUGCUUCACCCGUGCCGCUGCCAAGGAUGCUACUGAAACAAUUGUCAGCUGAGUCACCCUAUCUGGUCCUAAAAGUUGGUGAGUAGAAGAUCGCCCCUCAAAUGGACAUGAUUUUCAAAUGCUCAGACACAAUUCCCACUGAAGGCACAAGCCGGCUCCCUUUGGCACCUGACAAAAGCCACAUGGAAGUGCAAACUAGCCAUGCUGGUGAAUAGCAGAGGUGGAUCCCACCUCAAUGCACACACAUGGCAUGGACCUGCCCUGGGAUGUCAGGGACACAUCCAAAGGCUGCUGUUAGUAGAAGCCCUGCUUCAUCAUUCGAUGAUGUUUGAAGAUGUUUGAAGGAGAGCCGGACCCCAUGAACAGAUGGCACUAUGAUGUUCCAAGGAUCAUCCCCUUCUUCAUAGGAUAUCACUGGGUCUUUCUCCCACCAGGUCUCCCAAUAAACUUUCUCCAUUAAUGACCAAAACUUGCCUGCGCAUGGUUGGACAUCCCACUCACACCUCUCCCUAUUCAACAGUUCCUGUUACCACAAAUGCUGGCUUCAGCUGGGAGCCAGACACUGGACUAGAGCUCAUGG